rnacentral:rRNA from 1 species
UACGGAGGGGGCUAGCGUUGUUCGGAAUUACUGGGCGUAAAGCGCGCGUAGGCGGACCGGCAAGUCGGGGGUGAAAGCCCGAGGCUCAACCUCGGAACUGCCUUCGAUACUGCGGGUCUCGAGUCCGGGAGAGGUGAGUGGAGUUCCUAGUGUAGAGGUGAAAUUCGUAGAUAUUAGGAAGAACACCAGUGGCGAAGGCGGCUCACUGGCCCGGUACUGACGCUGAGGCGCGAAAGCGUGGGGAGCAAACAGG